rnacentral:rRNA from 1 species
AGUGAACGCUGGCGGCAGGCCUAACACAUGCAAGUCGAGCGGCAGCGCGUCCGACCACCCUCGGGUGGUCGGAUGGCGGCGAGCGGCGGACGGGUGAGGAAUGCAUCGGAAUCUGCCUCGUUGUGGGGGAUAACGUAGGGAAACUUACGCUAAUACCGCAUACGACCUACGGGUGAAAGUGGGGGACCUUCGGGCCUCACGCGAUGAGAUGAGCCGAUGCCGGAUUAGCUAGUUGCGGGGUAAAGGCCCACCAAGGCGACGAUCCGUAGCUGGUCUGAGAGGAUGAUCAGCCACACUGGAACUGAGACACGGUCCAGACUCCUACGGGAGGCAGCAGUGGGGAAUAUUGGACAAUGGGGGCAACCCUGAUCCAGCCAUGCCG